rnacentral:tRNA from 1 species
GGGCACGUGGCUUAGCCUGAUGGAGCGCCGAACUUCUGCGUCCUUGGCGCAGAGUGUGUAUGCCUUAUAUGGUGUCGCUCCGAACAUUCGAUUGCGAAGCCUAGGUAAGCCGGAGGUCGCGGGUUUGAAUCCCGCCGUGCCCACCA